GUCUAUGGCCAUACCACCCUGAAUGCGCCCUAUCUCACCUGAUCUCGGAAGCUAAGCAGGGUCGGGCCGGGUUAAUACUUGGAUGGGAGAAUCCUCCUUUUUCAAACGAUCCUCAGGGACUGAUU
rnacentral:rRNA from 1 species